UACGAAGGGUGCAAACGUUGCUCGGAAUUAUUGGGCGUAAAGAGCGUGUAGGCGGCCAGGUAGGUCUGCUGUGAAAACUCGAGGCUCAACCUCGAGACGUCGGCGGAAACCAUCUGGCUAGAGUCCGGAAGAGGAGAGUGGAAUUCCUGGUGUAGCGGUGAAAUGCGCAGAUAUCAGGAAGAACACCCGUGGCGAAGGCGGCUCUCUGGGACGGUACUGACGCUGAGACGCGAAAGCGUGGGGAGCGAACAGG
rnacentral:rRNA from 1 species